GACGUAGGGGGCGAGCGUUGUCCGGAUUUAUUGGGCGUAAAGCGUGCGUAGGCGGCUGCGCAAGUCGGGUGUGAAACCCCGGGGCUCAACCCCGGAACCUGCAUCCGAUACUGCGUGGCUAGAGGUAGGUAGGGGAGAUCGGAAUUCCUGGUGUAGCGGUGAAAUGCGCAGAUAUCAGGAGGAACACCAAUGGCGAAGGCAGAUCUCUGGGCCGUAACUGACGCUGAGGAGCGAAAGCAUGGGGAGCGAACAGG
rnacentral:rRNA from 1 species